rnacentral:lncRNA from 1 species
UCUCUCUAACCUUUCAUCUCUGAAAUUCUCUCUAGAACCUUCAAUCCUCUCUCUUCUCCGAUGGCUUUCCUUGCCGUUCCAGCCACCUCCAGCCUCACUCCUCUCGACCGCCACUCGCCCUAGUAUUGUAUCUCGUUGCUUCUGUCCCAAACUCGAAGCCCAGAAGCUUCCUCCAUGGAAGACAGUCGAAUGAAGCUCGUUUGAGCCUUUAACUGUCCUUUUUCCUGUGGUUUUCACAUGAUGAUGCUCUAUAUUGUGUUAGUGAUGAGUUUCCCGGCCAGGUUCCGCCUUUCUUUAACUCGUCUGCAAACUCUAAUUUUCUACUCAAAAUCUCUUUAAUUUUUUGCGCUUUUAAAAUGAUUUUCAGUUCGAUUCUUUGUUUUCUACUCUAAUUUUCACUCAAUCUCCGAUUAUCUUAAGUUUCUCCUCUUUUUCAAAGUUAGGGAUUCUGACCCUUUCAUUAAAAUCACUUCUUUUACUUUCUUGGAGUAUUAGGUGUUGGUUAUGUUUAUCCAUGUUACGGGUGUUUGGUUUCCUUGUUAAUUUGAGUUCCAUGCCUUUCUUUUUCUUUCUAGGGUUCAUAACCUUUUUGUUUCCGUGUUUACCCGCUUAGGGUUCUCUCAAAUCCAUGUCUGUUAUGCUUUAUAGGCCUAAGUGUUCAUCGUUUGUGCAAUAUUAUGCUGAUUCUGAACAUCUCUGUGAAUCCUUGAAUGGUCUGUGAUUUUCCUUAGACGAUUCAUUUUUUUUGAAUUAUUUCCUUACUUGGGCAUGCCUUCCUUACAUAGAAAUAAUUCUCUAUGAUUUUUAGGUCUUGUCCAAGAUUCUUUGACUAAUUGGUAGAAUUAGCUCAUAUUUCUCAUUGCUCACUUGUGUUUUGUUUGUCUGCAACUGGUAUGUUAUCUGUUUAGUAUACAACUCCCAAAAAAAUAUGCUUCUGUUAGUUGUGCACUUCAUCUUGUUCCUUGUGUGUUUUUAUCUGUGGUUCUGGUGUUCUUAUUGUCACUAGCAUGCACUUAGUAGCCCAUCUAGUUUAGAUUAGCAUGUUCCCCUUACCCUUUCCCAGUUUCAGUGUAUGUUUACCUUCCUUGUGUAUUACUACCAUGUGUCCAGGGAUACUUAGCUUCUUAAUUAGCCUAAAAACCUCUUCCCUGAGGUUAAGGGUUUGGGGUUUGGUGCAGUAAGAACUGAAACCCCCAGUUUGUUGCAACUAUGUCUGAUUACCUUCCUUCAAUAUGAUGUCUGUGUAUAUGUAGUUCCCUGUACUUAUCUUUUCCCUUCCCUUUGCCCAUGUUUGUGUGGUGUUCUGUUUAAACUAGUUAGUAUCAAUGAUUUCAAAAGAACUGCUUUCAACUCUUUCAAACUAUUUCCUCAAACUAUCUCUCAACUCUUUUUUUAACUGUUCUUUUAAACUGACUCUCAAUUGUUUUAAACUCUCUCAAUCCUAUCACAACUUCACUACUCUUAGAACACUAAGUUCAGCCCCCUUAGUGUAAGCAUUGCCUUGGAAGCCCUUGAGCACCCAUUGAUCUUUGAUGCACAAGGCUGGCACUUCCACACUUGCAUAUGUCUAAUAAUGACACUUUAGGUGCUUGGUAUUGGCUAGGGGGUCAAACGAACCCUUUGGGAAUUUUGCCGCACCCAAGCCUUGGUAAUGGCUGUGAAACUCGAAAGAAGUGAGGUUGGAGAUAUUUUGGCCCAGCCGUGGAGGCUCUCUAUAGAAUAACUUCUUAUUUUUUCUUUUAUCAUUGUUGUAAUUUAAUGUAUCUUGGCGGUAAUAAUAAUUAGGUUAUAAUGAAUAUGGGUGCUUUGCAUGUUUAAUUAAGG